GGUUCCAUAGUGUAGCAGUUAGCGCGUCUGCUUUACACGCAGAAGGUCCUGGGUUUCCACUCCAGUGCAGCCA
rfam:Pteropus alecto contig109469, whole genome shotgun sequence.